UACGGAGGGGGCUAGCGUUGUUCGGAAUUACUGGGCGUAAAGCGCGCGUAGGCGGCUUUGUAAGUUAGAGGUGAAAGACCCCGGAGCUCAACCUCGGAACUGCCUUUAAGACUGCAUCGCUAGAAUCAUGGAGGAGGUGAGUGGAAUUCCGAGUGUAGAGGUGAAAUUCGUAGAUAUUCGGAAGAACGACCAGUGGCGAAGGCGAACUCACUGGACAUGUAUUGACGCUGAGGUGCGAAAGCGAUGGGGAG
rnacentral:rRNA from 1 species